rnacentral:lncRNA from 1 species
AAUUAACACUUCAGAAAGUCCAGAAUGCAAUAUUCCCACCAACUGUGUUUGAGUGUCCUUCCCCACCCACUGGCCAGAGCUGGGUCUUCCACAUCUGUGUAGCUUUCAUGGAUUCCAAUCCUAUUGGUGGGAAAGCUACUCAGCAAAUUUGCAUGCAUUUGAUUACAGACGAGGGAAAGCAACUUUUUAGUUCUUACUGCCUUUUCCUCCCCAUUCCUUGCCUCUUGAGUCAUGCUUGCUUUUCUCCUUGUGGGUACUCAUCCUUUCCUGGAUGGUUUUCAAGCUCACAUUAUGUAUAUGAAUUAUUAACUCUUAUACCACAUGCUACAGAUAGGAAACCUCCCCUCCUAGACAUCUGUCUUGGAAAUAAAUACUAAUUUUUUGGCA